rnacentral:rRNA from 1 species
GAUCCUGGCUCAGGAUGAACGCUAGCUACAGGCUUAACACAUGCAAGUCGAGGGAAACGACAUCGAAAGCUUGCUUUGAUGGGCGUCGACCGGCGCACGGGUGAGUAACGCGUAUCCAACCUGCCCACCACUUGGGGAUAACCUUGCGAAAGUAAGACUAAUACCCAAUGACGUCUCUAGAAGACAUCUGAAAGAGAUUAAAGAUUUAUCGGUGAUGGAUGGGGAUGCGUCUGAUUAGCUUGUUGGCGGGGUAACGGCCCACCAAGGCGACGAUCAGUAGGGGUUCUGAGAGGAAGGUCCCCCACAUUGGAACUGAGACACGGUCCAAACUCCUACGGGAGGCAGCAGUGAGGAAUAUUGGUCAAUGGACGAGAGUCUGAACCAGCCAAGUAGCGUGCAGGAUGACGGCCCUAUGGGUUGUAAACUGCUUUUAUAAGGGAAUAAAGUGAGUCUCGUGAGACUUUUUGCAUGUACCUUAUGAAUAAGGACCGGCUAAUUCCGUG